rnacentral:rRNA from 1 species
UACGGAAGGCAGCAGUGGGGAAUAUUGCACAAUGGGCGCAAGCCUGAUGCAGCCAUGCCGCGUGUAUGAAGAAGGCCUUCGGGUUGUAAAGUACUUUCAGUCGUGAGGAAGGUGUUAAGGUUAAUAACCUUAGCAAUUGACGUUAGCGACAGAAGAAGCACCGGCUAACUCCGUGCCAGCAGCCGCGGUAAUACGGAGGGUGCGAGCGUUAAUCGGAAUUACUGGGCGUUAAAGGGCACGCAGGCGGUUAAUUAAGUUGGAUGUGAAAUCCCCGGGCUUAACCUGGGAAUGGCAUUCAAGACUGGUUAGCUAGAGUCUUGUAGAGGGGGUUAGAAUUCCAUGUGUAGCGGUGAAAUGCGUAGAGAUGUGGAGGAAUACCGGUGCGAAGGCGGCCCCUGGACAAAGACUGACGCUCAUGUGCGAAAGCGUGGGGAGCAAAC